rnacentral:siRNA from 1 species
CGGAUGGGGGCCGGCGAUGCGU